GAGUAGACAUAUGUGUGAUUUUCCGUAUACUUUUGCGUUCCUGUGGUCGUUAUCUCUCUCUCUCUCUAUUUUUUUUUCAUAUUUUACACUGUUGUCCAGUUACUCCUCCUAUCUACUGCCAUCUUUUAUCUUUUCGCUUGACGAAGUGUCGGACUGUCCUGCUGUUGAUUCUUCAUUCUUGCCAAGUUGCCAUGCCUACAAAACCGUCCCGCCAGAGGCGUCUGUUGCCGUUGCUGCUGAGAAGAUCAACCCUUCAGUGGAACCAUGCGUGCUCUGGGGUCCGAGGGGUCUCUAAGCGCAUGGGUUCGAAUCCUGUCCACGGUCCGAGUGGCCUUGGCUGCUGUGUGUGCAUGGAAAGGAAGGAAGUUAUGCAUUGGUGCUACUGGCUCGUCACACUGCCACUGCAUUCCUCAAUAUUAAAUAAUUAAAAAUAUUUGGUAUCAUAGUGUGUUAGUUAGUGGACUGGUAGUGUUGCUGGUAACCAAGUAUUCAUGUGAUUUAAAGUCAAGACUCCAAAUUUUUUAUUUUUUUUUUAUUAGAGAUAAAGUUGUAUAAAAUAUACAUUUUAUAUUUAACAAAUUAUAUACUGUUGUAUAAUAAAGUUGUGUAUAUAUAGUUUUCUGAAACUACAAAGUAAGGCAGUUUACACUAUUUUAAUCUGCAACAUACUUGUGUAUACACAUAAGGUUUUGCAAAUACUGUUAUAGGCUCGUGGUCAUAGUGCAAGGAAGUUUGAAGCUUAUUACAAAUUAAUGUAAUUUACACUAUAGAUAGAAAAAUAUAUUAUAGUCUUGGAGACAAUGAUACAUGGUAUAAUAUAUUGUGUUAAGUUAUUGCAAAUGCUGCUAGAGGUGAAAGUAAAAGUUAUUCCAAGUACAAAAUGUUCUUACAUAUGGUUUUUGAGGCUUUGUUUAGCUGUGGGAUGUACUUAAUUCAUGAGUGACAGUGUAACAUAUAAUGGCUGGAUCUGGCAGCUGUUUUACGAAGAAACACUGUGUCAGCAUAAUUCACUUUACUGUAAAAAUUUUAUAUAUAUAUAUAUAUAU